UACGAAGGGGGCUAGCGUUGUUCGGAUUUACUGGGCGUAAAGCGCACGUAGGCGGAUCGUUAAGUCGGGGGUGAAAUCCUGGAGCUCAACUUCAGAACUGCCUUCGAUACUGGCGAUCUUGAGUCCGGAAGAGGUGAGUGGAACUCCUAGUGUAGAGGUGGAAUUCGUAGAUAUUAGGAAGAACACCAGUGGCGAAGGCGGCUCACUGGUCCGGUACUGACGCUGAGGUGCGAAAGCGUGGGGAGCAAACAGG
rnacentral:rRNA from 1 species